rnacentral:rRNA from 1 species
AUUGAACGCUGGCGGCAGGCUUAAAACAUGCAAGUCGAGCGAGCGGCGGACGGGUGAGUAAUGUCGGGGAAACUGCCUGAGGAGGGGGGAUAACUACGGGAAACGGUAGCUAAUACCGCAUACCAUAAGAUGUGACCAGAUGGGAUUAGCAGGUAGGUGGGGUAAUGGCUCACCUAGGCGACACUCCCUAGCUGGUCUGAGAGGAUGCCCAGCCACACUGGAACUGAGACACGGUCCAGACUCCUACGGGAGGCAGCAGUGGGGAAUAUUGCACAAUGGGCGCAAGCCUGAUGCAGCCAUGCCGCGUGUGUGAAGAAGGCCUUCGGGUUGUAAAGCACUUUCAGCGAGGAGGCGUUACUCGCAGAAGAAGCACCGGCUAACUCCGUGCCAGCAGCCGCGGUAAUAC